GACGAACGCUGGCGGCGUGCUUAACACAUGCCAGUCGAACGGAAAGGCCCUGCUUGCCGGGUACUCGAGUGGCGAACGGGUGAGUAACUCGUGGGUGAUCUGCCCUGCACUUCGGGAUAAGCCUGGGAAACUGGGUCUAAUACCGGAUAGGAGCCAUUUUUAGUGUGAUGGUUGGAAAGUUUUUUCGGUGUAGGAUGAGCUCGCGGCCUAUCAGCUUGUUGGUGGGGUAAUGGCCUACCAAGGCGGCGACGGGUAGCCGGCCUGAGAGGGUGGACGGCCACAUUGGGACUGAGAUACGGCCCAGACUCCUACGGGAGGCAGCAGUGGGGAAUAUUGCACAAUGGGCGCAAGCCUGAUGCAGCGACGCCGCGUGGGGGAUGACGGCCUUCGGGUUGUAAACUCCUUUCGCUAGGGACGAAGCUUUUUGUGACGGUACCUAGAUAAGAAGCACCGGCUAACUACGUG
rnacentral:rRNA from 1 species